UACGGAGGGGCUAGCGUUGUUCGGAAUUACUGGGCGUAAAGCGCGCGUAGGCGGCUUUGUAAGUUAGAGGUGAAAGCCCGGAGCUCAACUUCGGAAUUGCCUUUAAGACUGCAUCGCUUGAAUCAUGGAGAGGUCAGUGGAAUUCCGAGUGUAGAGGUGAAAUUCGUAGAUAUUCGGAAGAACACCAGUGGCGAAGGCGACUGACUGGACAUGUAUUGACGCUGAGGUGCGAAAGCGUGGGGAGCAAACA
rnacentral:rRNA from 1 species